rnacentral:rRNA from 1 species
AGUAAAUAGAUACCCGGGUAGUCCACGCCGUAAACGAUGAGUACUAGGCGUAGGAGGUAUCGACUCCUUCUGUGCCGCAGUUAAACACAAUAAGUACUCCGCCUGGGAAGUACGGUCGCAAGAUUAAAACUCAAAGGAAUUGACGGGGGCCCGCACAAGCAGCGGAGCAUGUGGUUUAAAUUCGAAGCAACGCGAGGAACCUUACCUAGACUUGACAUCCCCUGAAUAACGUAGAGAUACGCGAAGCCCUUCGGGGCAGGGAGACAGGUGGUGCAUGGUUGUCGUCAGCUCGUGUCGUGAGAUGCUGGGUUAAGUCCCGCAACGAGCGCAACCCUUAUCAUUAGUUGCUACCAUUUAGUUGAGCACUCUAGUGAGACUGCCCGGGUUAACCGGGAGGAAGGCGGGGAUGACGUCAAAUCAUCAUGCCCCUUAUGUCUAGGGCUACACACGUGCUACAAUGGUGAGAACAACGAGAUGCAAUACCGCGAGGUGGAGCAAAACUUCAAAACUCAUCCCAGUUCGGAUUGUAGGCUGAAACUCGCC